rnacentral:tRNA from 1 species
AAGGGUAGAGCUCAGUGUUAGAGCAUGUGCUUAGCAGGCAUGACGUCCUGGGUUCAACCCCCAGCACCUCCG